rnacentral:rRNA from 1 species
CCUACGGGGUGCAGCAGUAGGGAAUUUUGCGCAAUGGGGGAAACCCUGACGCAGCAACACCGCGUGAAUGUUAAGCCCUUCGGGGUGUAAAGUUCUGUCAAUAGGGACGAAUAUUGAAUGUACCGAUAAAGGAAGCACCGGCAAACUCCGUACCAGCAGCCGCGGUACUACGGGGGGAGCAAGCGUUGUCCGGAAUCAUUGGGCGUAACGCGCUCGUAGGCGGUAUGUCAAGUCCGGUGUUAAAGCCCGGGGCUCAACCCCGGUUCGACAUGGGAUACUGGCAAACUAGACUGUGGGAGAGGUAAAGGGAAUGCCUGGUGUAGCGGUGAAAUGCGUAGAUAUCAGGAGGAACAUCGGUGGCGAAAGCGCUUUACUGGACCAUGAUUGACGCUGAGGAACGAAAGCCAGGGGAGCAAAUGGGAUUAGAUACCCUAGUAGUC